rnacentral:tRNA from 1 species
GGCACUGUGGCUCAAAUGGUAGAGCAGUAGCCUUGAGCUGAAGAGCUAAAGGACAGUGCCA